CCUCCUCCUCCUCCAAUGUGGCUGAGAGUGGACCGAGUCAACUUCCUGAGAGUCCGAAAAGGCAGCCUGCGUGGUAGCGUGGGACGAGGGGUGUCUGGCGCUAACGGGGAUCUUGAAACCGACCGUUAAGGAAGAAGAGAACGACCUCUGAAGAGUAGCAGAGACAGAACAAAGAGAAACGAGAGAAUAAAGAAGUCACUGGGGAAGUAUAUGGUGUAGAUAGUAGGAGUCACCUGCAUUGGGGGUAGCUGCUGUGGAAAUAAAAGAUGAAAGAGUCCAGGGUACUUGGGGGGGGACAGACCCAGGUGAACAAAGGUAGACACAAGGUAACUCCAGGUCAUUUCCUUGAGCAACUAGGAGGGUGGUGAUAGCAUCUAGUGCAAAGGCAACUAGAGAAACGCCAGAGCCUCUGACUGGAACCCAGGUGUCUCUCCAACUAGCCUGUAAAACCUCCCAUCCCCCUAAUCCUGCGAUCAAGGCUUAGUUAAAUUCUGCUAAUUUCAUCAUAUCCCAAGAAACAUUUGCAGAACUUAGAACCAGUUGCUAGGGACCUGAAGUCGACUGUCUCUUGAAGAGAGCGAACUAAGCCAUUCGGCAACAGUGGAACAAAUGUCACAAUAAAAAGAAGCUUAAAGCAA